rnacentral:lncRNA from 1 species
UUAAGGGAUUUUUAAUAAAAAAAAAUUUAUACCUUUUACAAAGGAUUUCUUUCCAAUAUUUAUUAUUGUGUAAUGAUACGCUGAUACACCGAACAAGCAUCGACACUUGGAACCAUACGAUUCUCUCAAAUCGCGCAGAUGCCCCCACUCAGUUCCACCUCUCCGAAUCAACACCGGCAGAAGGAUAUUUAAGAGAGCCGCAAGCAGAGAUCCGACAGUCCUGAAACGACAGUUCUGGGCUCCAAAUACCAGCCAAGCGGCGUGAGCUAGGCAGGCCGACCUGAGUAGCGAGGUGCACCGUACUGACGUGAUUCGCAAGCUUAGGCAGCCAACUCGAGCCGCAAGGUGCACCGUAGUGAAUUGAUUUGCGGCUCAUAAGUAAAAGGAGGCACGCGUAACGUCUACCCGGAGGAGGACUUCGCUGCGACGAAUAGAAUGAGAUAUAUUAUUUUUAUUUAUUAGACUGAAUAGAUUUAUUUUGUUUUAA